CCAUGCAAGUCGAACGAUGAACCACUUCGGUGGGGAUUAGUGGCGAACGGGUGAGUAACACGUGGGCAAUCUGCCCUUCACUCUGGGACAAGCCCUGGAAACGGGGUCUAAUACCGGAUACCACUACCACGGGCAUCUGUGGUGGUUGAAAGCUCCGGCGGUGAAGGAUGAGCCCGCGGCCUAUCAGCUUGUUGGUGAGGUAAUGGCUCACCAAGGCGACGACGGGUAGCCGGCCUGAGAGGGCGACCGGCCACACUGGGACUGAGACACGGCCCAGACUCCUACGGGAGGCAGCAGUGGGGAAUAUUGCACAAUGGGCGAAAGCCUGAUGCAGCGACGCCGCGUGAGGGAUGACGGCCUUCGGGUUGUAAACCUCUUUCAGCAGGGAAGAAGCGAAAGUGACGGUACCUGCAGAAGAAGCGCCGGCUAACUACGUGCCAGCAGCCGCGGUAAUACGUAGGGCGCAAGCGUUGUCCGGAAUUAUUGGGCGUAAAGAGCUCGUAGGCGGCUUGUCACGUCGGGUGUGAAAGCCCGGGGCUUAACCCCGGGUCUGCAUUCGAUACGGGCUAGCUAGAGUGUGGUAGGGGAGAUCGGAAUUCCUGGUGUAGCGGUGAAAUGCGCAGAUAUCAGGAGGAACACCGGUGGCGAAGGCGGAUCUCUGGGCCAUUACUGACGCUGAGGAGCGAAAGCGUGGGGAGCGAACAGGAUUAGAUACCCUGGUAGUCCACGCCGUAAACGGUGGGAACUAGGUGUUGGCGACAUUCCACGUCGUCGGUGCCGCAGCUAACGCAUUAAGUUCCCCGCCUGGGGAGUACGGCCGCAAG
rnacentral:rRNA from 1 species